GUAGGUGAACCUGUGGAAGGAUCAUUAGUGAAAGAAAUUUGGUCAAGCUAUUGCUGGUCCUUUGGGACAUGUGCACGCUUGCCACCAAUUUUAACCACCUGUGCACCUUUUGUAGACUUGGAAAUGUUUCUCAAGGCAACUCGGAUUGAGAACUGCUGCGUGCAAGCCAGCUGUUCUUGUGUUUCCCAGUCUAUGUUUUCAUAUACUCCAAAUGUAUGUAUUGGAAUGUAUUGCUAGGCCUUUAGUGCCU
rnacentral:misc_RNA from 1 species